GAGUUUGAUCCUGGCUCAGGAUGAACGCUGGCGGCGUGCUUAACACAUGCAAGUCGAACGGGGAUUACACGGAGAUGCGAUUUCGGUCAAAUCAAGUGCAAUCUUAGUGGCGGACGGGUGAGUAACGCGUGGGUAACCUGCCUUGCACUGGGGGAUAACACUUAGAAAUAGGUGCUAAUACCGCAUAAGCGCACGGUCCUGCAUGGGACAGUGUGAAAAACUCCGGUGGUGCAAGAUGGACCCGCGUCUGAUUAGCUGGUUGGCGGGGUAAAGGCCCACCAAGGCGACGAUCAGUAGCCGGCCUGAGAGGGUGGACGGCCACAUUGGGACUGAGACACGGCCCAAACUCCUACGGGAGGCAGCAGUGGGGGAUAUUGGACAAUGGGGGGAACCCUGAUCCAGCGACGCCGCGUGAGUGAAGAAGUAUUUCGGUAUGUAAAGCUCUGUCAGCAGGGAAGAAAGCAAUGACGGUACCUGACCAAGAAGCCCCGGCUAACUACGUGCCAGCAGCCGCGGUAAUACGUAGGGGGCAAGCGUUAUCCGGAAUUACUGGGUGUAAAGGGAGCGUAAACGGCUGUGCAAGUCUGGAGUGAAAAGGCGGGGGCCCAA
rnacentral:rRNA from 1 species